rnacentral:rRNA from 4 species
AGCGUGCGAUUGGAUUGCACGUCUAAGCAGUAAGGCUGAGUAUUAGGCAAAUCCGGUACUCGUUAAGGCUGAGCUGUGAUGGGGAGAAGACAUUGAGUCUUCGAGUCGUUGAUUUCACACUGCCGAGAAAAGCCUCUAGAUAGAAAAUAGGUGCCCGUACCGCAAACCGACACAGGUAGUCAAGAUGAGAAUUCUAAGGUGAGCGAGCGAACUCUCGUUAAGGAACUCGGCAAAAUGACCCCGUAACUUCGGGAGAAGGGGUGCUCUUUAGGGUUAACGCCCAGAAGAGCCGCAGUGAAUAGGCCCAAGCGACUGUUUAUCAAAAACACAGGUCUCUGCUAAACCGUAAGGUGAUGUAUAGGGGCUGACGCCUGCCCGGUGCUGGAAGGUUAAGAGGAGUGGUUAGCUUCUGCGAAGCUACGAAUCGAAGCCCCAGUAAACGGCGGCCGUAACUAUAACGGUCCUAAGGUAGCGAAAUUCCUUGUCGGGUAAGUUCCGACCCGCACGAAAGGCGUAACGAUUUGGGCACUGUCUCAACGAGAGACUCGGUGAAAUCAUAGUACCUGUGAAGAUGCAGGUUACCCGCGACAGGACGGAAAGACCCCGUGGAGCUUUACUGUAGCCUGAUAUUGAAAUUCGGCACAGCUUGUACAGGAUAGGUAGGAGCCUUUGAAACGUGAGCGCUAGCUUACGUGGAGGCGCUGGUGGGAUACUACCCUAGCUGUGUUGGCUUUCUAACCCGCACCACUUAUCGUGGUGGGAGACAGUGUCAGGCGGGCAGUUUGACUGGGGCGGUCGCCUCCUAAAAGGUAACGGAGGCGCUCAAAGGUUCCCUCAGAAUGGUUGGAAAUCAUUCAUAGAGUGUAAAGGCAUAAGGGAGCUUGACUGCGAGACCUACAAGUCGAGCAGGGUCGAAAGACGGACUUAGUGAUCCGGUGGUUCCGCAUGGAAGGGCCAUCGCUCAACGGAUAAAAGCUACCCCGGGGAUAACAGGCUUAUCUCCCCCAAGAGUUCACAUCGACGGGGAGGUUUGGCACCUCGAUGUCGGCUCAUCGCAUCCUGGGGCUGUAGUCGGUCCCAAGGGUUGGGCUGUUCGCCCAUUAAAGCGGUACGCGAGCUGGGUUCAGAACGUCGUGAGACAGUUCGGUCCCUAUCCGUCGUGGGCGUAGGAAAUUUGAGAGGAGCUGUCCUUAGUACGAGAGGACCGGGAUGGACAUACCUCUGGUGUACCAGUUGUCGUGCCAACGGCAUAGCUGGGUAGCUAUGUGUGGACGGGAUAAGUGCUGAAAGCAUCUAAGCAUGAAGCCCCCCUCAAGAUGAGAUUUCCCAACUUCGGUUAUAAGAUCCCUCAAAGAUGAUGAGGUUAAUAGGUUCGAGGUGGAAGCAUGGUGACAUGUGGAGCUGACGAAUACUAAUCGAUCGAAGACUUAAUCAA